rnacentral:rRNA from 1 species
CAGUAGCCGCGGUAAUACGUAGGUGGCAAGCGUUGUCCGGAAUUAUUGGGCGUAAAGCGCGCGCAGGCGGAUAGGUCAGUCUGUCUUAAAAGUUCGGGGCUUAACCCCGUGAUGGGAUGGAAACUGCCAAUCUAGAGUAUCGGAGAGGAAAGUGGAAUUCCUAGUGUAGCGGUGAAAUGCGUAGAUAUUAGGAAGAACACCAGUAGCGAAGGCGACUUUCUGGACGAAAACUGACGCUGAGGCGCGAAAGCCAAGGGAGCGAACGGGAUUAGAUACCCCAGUAGUCCCUGUCUCUUAUACC